rnacentral:rRNA from 1 species
GAGAAUGCCGGUGUGAGUAGCGAAAGACGGGUGAGAAUCCCGUCCACCGAUUGACUAAGGUUUCCAGAGGAAGGCUCGUCCGCUCUGGGUUAGUCGGGUCCUAAGCUGAGGCCGACAGGCGUAGGCGAUGGAUAACAGGUUGAUAUUCCUGUACCACCUAUAAUCGUUUUAAUCGAUGGGGGGACGCAGUAGGAUAGGCGAAGCGUGCGAUUGGAUUGCACGUCUAAGCAGUAAGGCUGAGUAUUAGGCAAAUCCGGUACUCGUUAAGGCUGAGCUGUGAUGGGGAGAAGACAUUGUGUCUUCGAGUCGUUGAUUUCACACUGCCGAGAAAAGCCUCUAGAUAGAAAAUAGGUGCCCGUACCGCAAACCGACACAGGUAGUCAAGAUGAGAAUUCUAAGGUGAGCGAGCGAACUCUCGUUAAGGAACUCGGCAAAAUGACCCCGUAACUUCGGGAGAAGGGGUGCUCUUUAGGGUUAACGCCCAGAAGAGCCGCAGUGAAUAGGCCCAAGCGACUGUUUAUCAAAAACACAGGUCUCUGCUAAACCGUAAGGUGAUGUAUAGGGGCUGACGCCUGCCCGGUGCUGGAAGGUUAAGAGGAGUGGUUAGCUUCUGCGAAGCUACGAAUCGAAGCCCCAGUAAACGGCGGCCGUAACUAUAACGGUCCUAAGGUAGCGAAAUUCCUUGUCGGGUAAGUUCCGACCCGCACGAAAGGCGUAACGAUUUGGGCACUGUCUCAACGAGAGACUCGGUGAAAUCAUAGUACCUGUGAAGAUGCAGGUUACCCGCGACAGGACGGAAAGACCCCGUGGAGCUUUACUGUAGCCUGAUAUUGAAAUUCGGCACAGCUUGUACAGGAUAGGUAGGAGCCUUUGAAACGUGAGCGCUAGCUUACGUGGAGGCGCUGGUGGGAUACUACCCUAGCUGUGUUGGCUUUCUAACCCGCACCACUUAUCGUGGUGGGAGACAGUGUCAGGCGGGCAGUUUGACUGGGGCGGUCGCCUCCUAAAAGGUAACGGAGGCGCUCAAAGGUUCCCUCAGAAUGGUUGGAAAUCAUUCAUAGAGUGUAAAGGCAUAAGGGAGCUUGACUGCGAGACCUACAAGUCGAGCAGGGUCGAAAGACGGACUUAGUGAUCCGGUGGUUCCGCAUGGAAGGGCCAUCGCUCAACGGAUAAAAGCUACCCCGGGGAUAACAGGCUUAUCUCCCCCAAGAGUUCACAUCGACGGGGAGGUUUGGCACCUCGAUGUCGGCUCAUCGCAUCCUGGGGCUGUAGUCGGUCCCAAGGGUUGGGCUGUUCGCCCAUUAAAGCGGUACGCGAGCUGGGUUCAGAACGUCGUGAGACAGUUCGGUCCCUAUCCGUCGUGGGCGUAGGAAAUUUGAGAGGAGCUGUCCUUAGUACGAGAGGACCGGGAUGGACAUACCUCUGGUGUACCAGUUGUCGUGCCAACGGCAUAGCUGGGUAGCUAUGUGUGGACGGG